rnacentral:lncRNA from 1 species
CGUACGUUGUGCUCGUUCGCCCGCCCGCGGGCCUUUUAUCCCGAACCCCUCUCACUUUUUCCAACGUGAUCCAUUCGCUCACCUCUCUAUUUUUCUCGCUCCUUUCCCGUCUCCCCCACCUCAUCCGCAAGUCCAGGGCCGCUGCCGUCAUCGAUGGCUGGAUGGAGAUCAAGAUGCGCUGCUGCCAUCGAGUCAGUUUACUAGUGACGUGGCCGGCGCCUCCCUCCCUCCACCUUCCAAAUUCGAAGACAGGUUAUCAUUACUCGUUAUUUGCUAUCAUUAUUGUUACUCCCCUUCCAAGAACAUUUUGUCAUGGUUAUUUGCUAUUACUUUUGCAACGGAAUGCAUUUAUCUUAAUCGCCACCUCCCACUCUGGCACUUACCCCAGAACCCUAGGUAUCUACUGCUGAUGUCCCUCUCGCAGCAGCUCUCUAGCCGCAUUUUAGGAAAUUCUUCACUCCCUCGCUCCUCCCAUCCUGGCUAAAAGAAAAGUCCCUUAUCCACACGCACGCUACCAGCUAUUUCGCUUCAACAUUACGCCACCCAUUCGGCCAGCUCCAAUUCACAUGUGCCGAACCAUCCGGCCAUCCCAACUCGAUCGCUCUUCUUCGCUGCUGCUGCGGAGGCCGGCGACCCCCUGGGCAAUGCAUUAGUUCUCCUAUUAACCAAACCCCCCCCCCCCCCCCCCC